rnacentral:rRNA from 1 species
UGGGGAAUUUUGGACAAUGGGGGAAACCCUGAUCCAGCCAUCCCGCGUGUGCGAUGAAGGCCUUCGGGUUGUAAAGCACUUUUGGCAGGAAAGAAACGUCAUGGGUUAAUACCCCGUGAAACUGACGGUACCUGCAGAAUUAGCACCGGCUAACUACGUGCCAGCAGCCGCGGUAAUACGUAGGGUGCAAGCGUUAAUCGGAAUUACUGGGCGUAAAGCGUGCGCAGGCGGUUCGGAAAGAAAGAUGUGAAAUCCCAGAGCUCAACUUUGGAACUGCAUUUUUAACUACCGGGCUAGAGUGUGUCAGAGGGAGGUGGAAUUCCGCGUGUAGCAGUGAAAUGCGUGGAUAUGCGGAGGAACACCGAUGGCGAAGGCAGCCUCCUGGGAUAACACUGACGCUCAUGCACGAAGGCGUGGGGAGCAAACAGG